rnacentral:rRNA from 1 species
GACGAAGGAUGCAAGCGUUAUCCGGAUUCAUUGGGUUUAAAGGGAGCGUAGGGGGUCUCCUAAGUCAGUGGUGAAAUCUCUCGGCUUAACUGAGAAAUUGCCAUUGAUACUGGGAGACUUGAGUGUAGUUGCCGUUGGCGGAAUAUGACAUGUAGUGGUGAAAUACAUAGAGAUGUCAUAGAACACCGAUUGCGAAGGCAGCUAACGAAACUAUAACUGACACUGAGGCUCGAAAGUGCGGGGAUCAAACAGG